UACGUAGGGUGCGAGCGUUUGUCCGGAAUUAUUGGGCGUAAAGAGCUUGUAGGCGGUUUGUCGCGUCUGCCGUGAAAAUUCGAGGCUCAACCUCGAACUUGCGGUGGGUACGGGCAGACUAGAGUACUGCAGGGGAGACUGGAAUUCCUGGUGUAGCGGUGAAAUGCGCAGAUAUCAGGAGGAACACCGGUGGCGAAGGCGGGUCUCUGGGCAGUAACUGACGCUGGAGGAGCGAAAAGCGUGGGGAGCGAACAGG
rnacentral:rRNA from 1 species